rnacentral:lncRNA from 1 species
UGGUGAUGGCAUCUCUGCAGUCAUGCUGCUCCAUUACAUUACAUCAUGGGCUUGAACAGCUGCCUGAGGUACUGCUUCCUCUGGUGCGCAGGCUUCUCUUCUGGACACUUUAUCCUUACCCAUCCUCUGCUCCAGGAUGAGCCUGAAGGGAUUGUAGCAUCUCCUGGGAUGAGUCCAGGCUGGUGUGAUGGUGUUGGCUGUCUGUGAAUCUGCCCUA